GCAAGUCGAGCGCUACCUUCGGGUGGAGCGGCGGACGGGUUAGUAACGCGUGGGAAUAUACCCAGUUCUAAGGAAUAGCCUCUGGAAACGGAGAGUAAUACCUUAUGUGCCCUUCGGGGGAAAGAUUUAUCGCCAUUGGAUUAGCCCGCGUUAGAUUAGGUAGUUGGUGGGGUAAUGGCCUACCAAGCCUACGAUCUAUAGCUGGUUUGAGAGGAUGAUC
rnacentral:rRNA from 1 species